UGGCGAACGGGUGAGUAAUAUAUCGGAACGUGCCCAGUAAUGGGGGAUAGCCCGGCGAAAGCCGGAUUAAUACCGCAUACGACCUACGGGUGAAAGCGGGGGAUCGCAAGACCUCGCGUUAUUGGAGCGGCCGAUAUCAGAUUAGCUAGUUGGUGGGGUAAAGGCUUACCAAGGCGACGAUCUGUAGCUGGUCUGAGAGGACGACCAGCCACACUGGGACUGAGACACGACCCAG
rnacentral:rRNA from 1 species